rnacentral:rRNA from 1 species
CUACGGGAGGCAGCAGUGGGGAAUAUUGCACAAUGGGGGAAACCCUGAUGCAGCGACGCCGCGUGAGUGAAGAAGUAUUUCGGUAUGUAAAGCUCUAUCAGCAGGGAAGAAAACAAUGACGGUACCUGACUAAGAAGCCCCGGCUAACUACGUGCCAGCAGCCGCGGUAAUACGUAGGGGGCAAGCGUUAUCCGGAUUUACUGGGUGUAAAGGGAGCGUAGACGGUAGACCAAGUUUGAAGUGAAAGCCCGGGGCUCAACCCCGGAACUGCUUUGGAAACUGGUAGACUAGAGUGCAGGAGAGGUAAGUGGAAUUCCUAGUGUAGCGGUGAAAUGCGUAGAUAUUAGGAGGAACACCAGUGGCGAAGGCGGCUUACUGGACUGUAACUGACGUUGAGGCUCGAAAGCGUGGGGAGCAAACAGGAUUAGAUACCCUGGUAGUCCACGCCGUAAACGAUGAUUACUAGGUGUCGGGGAGUUAAACUCUUCGGUGCCGCAGCAAACG